UGUAAGAGAGGUUUUAAAACAAAAGCCGACUCUAAUAAUCCGCCAUCCUAUUAUGGACGUCGCUGGUUCGAAUCCAGCCAGAUGCA
rnacentral:tRNA from 1 species